AAAAAUCCCUGAAGGUAGAUACAUAUUGUAGCGGCUAUCAAGACCCGAAAUUGGCGGAAAAGCUUCGUAGACUAUAUCCUGACUUCACUUACCCGAAGAAUUACAGUGAGACUCAACAUGACAACAAGCUGAACUCCGAGAAGCUGCAGAAGCUGGGAUGGACUUAUUGGCCACUGGAAGAAACUCUCAUAGACUCCGUUGAAAGCUACCGAGAGGCUGGGCUGCUUAAGUAGUUAUGGCUUGUGAUGAAACUCGGAAAAUUCGUUUGCUGUUAUUUUCGAUAAUUUGGAUUGUACAGGAAAGUUGUUGUCCUUCAUUUCUAUUGAUAAUGAAAUUUCUUCCCAGAUGUACUUAUAUUUGGCAAUUUGACUACAAUUUCUGUUUCUUUGUCA